rnacentral:lncRNA from 1 species
UUAGUAUAAGCUCUAUGACCAAAAAUCAUGUAAAUUCACAAUCUUCUUGAUUUUAGUCUCGAAUUUACGAUGCCAAGCGUUGCUUGAUGGUGCUUGCUUUUUCUUUUUUCGCUUCAAUUGCGAACCUCAAGUUAUCUAUUAUAAAAGAUGUACGUAAAUCUAAAUGUACAUACGUGGAGAUCAAGUGGUCGAAAUGAUAGAGAUACUGUAUCUUGAUUGUAGCGUUUUCGUUUUAUACAACAUUAUUUAUUUCUCUUAGUCGGGACAGAGAUGAUGGAUACGUUACAAGAAAAUCAAUUUGUUUAUUAUAAAAGAGUCGGCUAAAGCUAAAUGCGCGCUAAUAACUGCGUUGCAAAAACUUAUACGAUAGUUAGUUAGCAAUCGAUUAGCUACAAAUACACGACAAUUUUAUAUUAUUUACAGUUUUCAACUACAUUGAAACGUUCAUCUAAAGACUGCUAGGUAAUAACCUUAUAUUGUGUAUAAUAAACCCGAAAUUUGGCUCACAAUUACAUUUCCUCGACGAUUUAUUUAUUUAUUUAUUUCAAAUCAAGUGGACAAAAAGCAAUAACUGAUUUGUUAGCGGAUAAACUUUUGGAUAAUCUUGUUCAAUGACAAACCCGUUAGUGUGUUAAUACUAAAAACGUUAUUACAAAUGAGUAUUCUUUGCGAGAGACGAAGCACAAAACAGUGUGCGCUAUAUCCCUCUGUAAUUUACGAAACAAUGAUCAGCACAAGUUCCUGAGUUGCGUUUAGUACAUGUGUCGCAUCAUAUAUAUUCAUUACCAUGAAAAUUAAUCCAAGUAUUUGAAAAAUAUGAUAACAUUGAUAUAUCCUUAAACAUUAAUCAACUCUACACGCAUACAUAAAUAUAAUUUUCUAUCCUAUACACAAUACUAGUCUUUACAAUAUUCUGUAUUUACAAUUAUUCUAAGCGCCAUCCUUUUCGUUAUUGAAUAAAAUUUGCGCAAUAAAUCGGUACAAUAAAAUAUUUUCAAAGUUCCUCUUCUUCACAGAUUAGACAUUUCAUAAGAAUCAUCUCGGUAAAAGCGGUAGAUAUUGAUAGGUAUUCUUUCUCACUCACGAUACGAAGCAAUCGUAUAUACGAAUUUGCAAAAUCUCUAAAUGUAUUUGCGAAAUUCCAUAAUAGAAACGCAAAUUUCUCUGAAAUUUCUUGGAGAAUUAUAAUAUAAAAUAUAUCUCUCAGUUGUACUCGUCGUCAAUUCCUUUAAAAUGUGAUUCAUCUCGAUCUGGUUAUACCUGCGUUACAUACAAGGUCUUUUCAUACGACUAGAGUUGUAAUCCUUUCGAUACAAGAUAUGUGACAUACAUUUGCUCGCUAACACGAGGAACACAGGAACUAAGAACAAGUUCAAACGCAUUUGCGAAAUUAUUUGCGCAAUUUUCCAAUUCUUGAAACAGCGCCGUGAUUUCAGUGAUAAAAAGUAAAAGUAAAACCCUACAAGAGUUAAAUGACGAUAAAACGAAUUUCCACUUUCGCCACUGUUGCGGAUUAUAUCGUGAUGCAGGAGCGUUCACGUAGAAUAUCUCUCCGAUGAACGUCGAUGAUGCAGCGCAUGGAGAGAAUGUUGGAAGCGCGUUAAUACACCACUGAUACCAUUUUAAC